AAGCCUGGGUUUCUGUUGGGGAGGAUUUUGAUGUUGUCAGGAUCACCAAAAUAGUUCUUCUUCAAUUGGGAGAUGGUGGUGAUGUUAAAGAUUUAAAUUCGCUUCAGGUAAAAUUGAAGGAAAAGUUGUCUGGGAAGAAGUUUUUAGUUGUCUUGGAUGAUGUCUGGACCGAGAACUAUGAGCAAUGGACUCUGUUUCGGAGUUCUUUUGAAGGAGGGAUACCUCAAAGCAGAAUUAUUAUCACCACUCGCAGUCAGGAGGUUUCAUUGAUGAUG
rnacentral:misc_RNA from 1 species